AAGACCUUGCACUUUUGGAGCGGCCGAUGUCUGAUUAGCUAGUUGGUGGGGUAAUGGCCUACCAAAGCUUCGAUCAGUAGCUGGUCUGAGAGGACGGCCAGCCACACUGGGACUGAGACACGGCCCAGACUCCUACGGGAGGCAGCAGUGGGGAAUUUUGGACAAUGGGCGCAAGCCUGAUCCAGCCAUGCCGCGUGAGUGAAGAAGGCCUUCGGGUUGUAAAGCUCUUUCAGCCGGGAAGAGAAGGUUGCGACUAAUAAUCGCAAUUCAUGACGGUACCGAAAGAAGAAGCACCGGCUAACUACGUGCCAGCAGCCGCGGUAAUACGUAGGGUGCGAGCGUUAAUCGGAAUUACUGGGCGUAAAGGGUGCGCAGGCGGUUUUGUAAGUCAGAUGUGAAAUCCCCGGGCUUAACCUGGGAACU
rnacentral:rRNA from 1 species